AGAAUGAACGCUGGCGGCAUGCCUAACACAUGCAAGUCGAACGAAGCCUUCGGGUUUAGUGGCGCACGGGUGCGUAACGCGUGGGAAUCUACCCCUUGGUUCGGAAUAACAGUUGGAAACGACUGCUAAUACCGGAUGAUGACGUAAGUCCAAAGAUUUAUCGCCGAGGGAUGAGCCCGCGUAGGAUUAGGUAGUUGGUGUGGUAAAGGCGCACCAAGCCGACGAUCCUUAGCUGGUCUGAGAGGAUGAUCAGCCACACUGGGACUGAGACACGGCCCAGACUCCUACGGGAGGCAGCAGUGGGGAAUAUUGGACAAUGGGCGAAAGCCUGAUCCAGCAAUGCCGCGUGAGUGAUGAAGGCCUUAGGGUUGUAAAGCUCUUUUACCCGGGAUGAUAAUGACAGUACCGGGAGAAUAAGCUCCGGCUAACUCCGCGCUAGCAGCCGC
rnacentral:rRNA from 1 species